rnacentral:rRNA from 1 species
UAGGGAAUCUUCCGCAAUGGACGCAAGUCUGACGGAGCAACGCCGCGUGAGUGAAGAAGGAUUUCGGUUCGUAAAACUCUGUUGUUAGAGAAGAACAGCGCAUAGAGUAACUGUUAUGCGUGUGACGGUAUCUAACCAGAAAGCCACGGCUAACUACGUGCCAGCAGCCGCGGUAAUACGUAGGUGGCAAGCGUUGUCCGGAUUUAUUGGGCGUAAAGCGAGCGCAGGCGGUCAAUUAAGUCUGAUGUGAAAGCCCCCGGCUCAACCGGGGAGGGUCAUUGGAAACUGGUUGACUUGAGUGCAGAAGAGGAGAGUGGAAUUCCAUGUGUAGCGGUGAAAUGCGUAGAUAUAUGGAGGAACACCAGUGGCGAAGGCGACUCUCUGGUCGGUAACUGACGCUGAGGCUCGAAAGCGUGGGUAGCAAACAGG